rnacentral:rRNA from 1 species
UCUGAACCAGCCAUGCCGCGUGAAGGAUGACGGCCCUCUGGGUUGUAAACUGCUUUUAUAUGGGAAGAAAAAAUGUCACUCGUGAUCACUUGACGGUACCAUAGGAAUAAGCACCGGCUAACUCCGUGCCAGCAGCCGCGGUAAUACGGAGGGUGCAAGCGUUAUCCGGAUUUACUGGGUUUAAAGGGUGCGUAGGCGGGUCUGUAAGUCAGUGGUGAAAUCUCCGAGCUUAACUCGGAAACUGCCAUUGAUACUGUAGGUCUUGAAUUAUCUGGAGGUGAGCGGAAUAUGUCAUGUAGCGGUGAAAUGCUUAGAUAUGACAUAGAACACCAAUUGCGAAGGCAGCUCACUACGSNUUAAUUGACRCUGAGGCACGAAAGCGUGGGGAUCAAACAGGAUUAGAUACCCUGGUAGUCCACGCCCUAAACGAUGGAUACUCGACAUUGGCGAUAUACAGUSUGUGUCUGAGCGAAAGCAUUAAGUAUCCCACCUGGGAAGUACGAUCGCAAGAUUGAAACUCAAAUGAAUUGACGGG